GUCCUUGCUGACACAAUUUAUCUUUUCCUGCCACCUCUUGAGCAGCACCCAGGGAAGGGCAGGGAGCAGCUGUGGGAAUCCCUGCCCUGGUGCUGCCUCAGACCCAGCUCCUUCACUCAGCACCAGUCCUUGUGCAAGGCAUCCCAGGGCACCUCACCCUUGUCUUCUGGAGCAUCUGUGGGCACCUGGCAGAGCUCUGUGUGCAGGGCAGGCCCAGCCACACAGCCCAGAGGGGAGGGAUUGAGCCCAGGUCUGUGCAUCCUGAGUGCACCCACAGUACAUUAUUAUUUAAGGGACUCUGAAGGGAUAGAAUGUAAGAAAAUAAAGAUAGUGCAGAAGGUCUCACACCUGAGGAGUUGCAGCUGCACUAAUCAGCAAAGAUUGGGAACAGGCCUGCCCUUAAUAGGCCACAGCUGUGUCCAAUAAGAAGAAGAGUGCUACAAAAGAGGGGGUUAGCUGGUAAGAAGAGAGUUGGAGUUUGUUGGCUGUGCUGUGAAGGAGUCAGAGUCAGUGCUGUGAGGAGCUGCCCAUGAGACAUCACCCAGAAGCCAAAUAUACCUUCAGACUUCAACAGGAUGGCAAUGUGUAAGCCAAAAAUAAUCAAAUGUAUCCAUAAAUACUAGCAUAUCUACAUAGGACAACUGUGGUAAGAUUUUUGAGAGAACUGGAACUGUUUUUCUCUGAAAUCAGUCCUGUACUGCAGAGCAUGGCAGACACAGGGCUUCACCAAGAACAUGUGCCCACCAACUCAACAGAAUAAUCAGCACAGGGCCCUUGGUCAGUGACAGGAGAGCACUGAAGUCUCCCUGGAGUCCCCAGCUCGCUCUGCUGUCAAUGCUGAAGGAUACAGCGAUGUCUCCAGAUUUAACCACCACAGACUGGCUAUUUUAGAAAAUCGAGCAUAAGUGCGUAAUGAGGUAUUAAGUCACAAAGAAAUGUUUAUUCUAAAUUAAGCCAGCCUAAAUUAGAGUGCGAAGCGCAGAGCCUGAGCCCACAGUGCGGUCUCUUGUUUACUCACAGGAGCAGCUCGGAAAGAGG